rnacentral:rRNA from 1 species
UACGAGGAUGUCAUCAGUGUUCGGUCGAUUCAUUGGGCGUAAAGGGUGUGUAGGUGGCGCGCUAAGUCGGGUGUGUAAUUUCGGAGCUUAACUCCGAAACUGCAUUCGAUACUGGCGUGCUUGAGGACUGGAGAGGAGACUGGAAUUCAUGGUGUAGCAGUGAAAUGCGUAGAGAUCAUGAGGAAGACCAGUGGCGAAGGCGGGUCUCUGGACAGUUCCUGACACUGAGACACGAAGGCCAGGGGAGCAAACGGG